UACGUAGGUGGCAAGCGUUGUCCGGAUUUAUUGGGCGUAAAGCGAGCGCAGGCGGAAAGAUAAGUCAGAUGUGAAAGCCCUCGGCUUAACCGAGGAAUAGCAUCGGAAACUGUCUUUCUUGAGUGCAGAAGAGGAGAGUGGAACUCCAUGUGUAGCGGUGGAAUGCGUAGAUAUAUGGAAGAACACCAGUGGCGAAGGCGGCUCUCUGGUCUGUAACUGACGCUGAGGCUCGAAAGCAUGGGUAGCGAAC
rnacentral:rRNA from 1 species